rnacentral:rRNA from 1 species
GACGAACGCUGGCGGCGUGCUUAACACAUGCAAGUCGAACGGAAAGGCCUCUUUCGGGGGGUACUCGAGUGGCGAACGGGUGAGUAACACGUGAGUAACCUGCCCUUGACUUUGGGAUAACUUCAGGAAACUGGGGCUAAUACCGGAUAGGAGCUCCUGCUGCAUGGUGGGGGUUGGAAAGUUUCGGCGGUUGGGGAUGGACUCGCGGCUUAUCAGCUUGUUGGUGGGGUAGUGGCUUACCAAGGCUUUGACGGGUAGCCGGCCUGAGAGGGUGACCGGCCACAUUGGGACUGAGAUACGGCCCAGACUCCGACGGGAGGCAGCAGUGGGGAAUAUUGCACAAUGGGUGGAAGCCUGAUGCAGCAACGCCGUGUGCGGGAUUACGGCCUUCGGGUUGUAAACCGCUUUCGCUCAUGACGAAGCUUUGUGUGACGGUAGUGGGUAAAGAAGCACCGGCUAACUACGUG